GAGGCGCAGCGCCGCCGCCGCCGCUUUCGGGGCUGGGAACCGCGGCACGGCGCAGGCGGCACCGGUGCCUCGGCUCCCCGGCCAGCCCGCGUUCUCGCCAGCCUGCCCGCCCGCCGGGGCCGCCUCCUCCUCCUGCUGCCGCCGCUGCCAGACGCAGGACUCGCAGCGCCUCCGCUCGCCUUCCAGCUUCUGCUCCUUGCUGAGAAAAUAGCAAGAAAAGGAAAUUCAGGAGCCACCCCUGUAAUUUACCUAGCAGGGUCAAUAGAGGGACCACAGACCUUGUCCUCAAGGAGAAAAGCUACAGGCCUCUGAGGACAAACCACUGGAAACAGCUGACCUGGAAGACUUGGACUCCAAGAUAAAAGGGACACUUGAGCACAUCACAAGCUCCCGUACUUUGGCUCCAGAGUCAGGAUCUACUUGUAAAACAU
rnacentral:lncRNA from 1 species